rnacentral:tRNA from 1 species
GCCUUCGUGGUGUAGUGGUCAGCUCGCUCGGCACGUAUUCGAGAGGUCCGUGGUUCGAAUCCCGGCGAGGGUA